AACCAGAAUUUUCUCGUUUGGUAUUGGUUUCAGAAUUUUAGUCAUUAAAGUGUUCCUCUGUUCAGCAUUUACAGAGUAUGUUGUACAAUGUAAUAAAAUAUUUAUUUAUUUCUUAUGCAUACUCAAGAAUAUAUUUAGCACUUAUUUUGAUUAUUUAAAUAGUUGCAGUGGACUGUGCCUGAGACGAUUCCCCACAUCGCCGGCUAUGUAGACAGCUUGUGAAAAUGAAAUUGUGCCAGAAAAGUUUGAAGUAGCUAUGGGAAUGAUCAACAUUGAACUUGCUGAGCCUUCCUUCUGAAAGUUACUUGACCAGAUAUUUGGCUACCCAGUAUGAGUAUCUUUCUGUAACAUUAAAUAAAAUAUCGUGGAGGAACACAAAGAAAAGGGCUGUGCAUCUCAACAUAUUCAAGGUCAAGCAGCUUUUUACCAUAUCCAUAGUAUCUUGCUGCUAAAUGAAAAAAAUAUAUUCCGGAGGAGCAGAGAAAAGGGCACUUCACAUGUUCAAGGUCAAGCAGAAAUUAGGAGCUAGAUGUGCUUCUCCAGAGCUGAAAACUUCUUGGCAUGAAGAGAAAAAAAAGCAAGAAGAAGCAGUUUUAAAUAUUGAUUACGUCUUCAUAGUACAAAAAAAUGAUUCUAAAGAUAAUACUAUCUAUGAAAUUAGAAAACUGAAGUUGCGUUCUGAUGAAUGUGAGAAAGUUUUCAAAGAACAGGACACCAAAAGUGCAACUCUCACAUCAAAGCACUCUAAAAGGCAGAGCAUAAGGAGAAC